CAGUCGCCACGGUAAUACGAAGGGUGCAAGCGUUAAUCGGAAUUACUGGGCGUAAAGCGUGCGUAGGCGGUGAGUUAAGUCUGCUGUGAAAUCCCCGGGCUCAACCUGGGAAUGGCAGUGGAUACUGGCUCGCUAGAGUGUGUCAGAGGAUGGUGGAAUUCCCGGUGUAGCGGUGAAAUGCGUAGAGAUCGGGAGGAACAUCAGUGGCGAAGGCGGCCAUCUGGGACAACACUGACGCUGAGGCACGAAAGCGUGGGAAGCAAACAGGAUUAGAUACCCCGGUAGUCCCUGUCUCUUAUAA
rnacentral:rRNA from 1 species